rnacentral:tRNA from 1 species
GACCGGGCCGCUCGGUUCGCGCGGCAACAGCACCUCCGGGGUGCCGCCGGGCUCGGAGGCCUGGACCGGCCGUGCCCCCCGGCCGUCGGCCCC